CAGUAGCCGCGGUAAUACGGAGGGGGCUAGCGUUGUUCGGAAUUACUGGGCGUAAAGCGCACGUAGGCGGCUUUGUAAGUCAGAGGUGAAAGCCUGGAGCUCAACUCCAGAAUUGCCUUUGAGACUGCAUCGCUUGAACGUCGGAGAGGUGAGUGGAAUUCCGAGUGUAGAGGUGAAAUUCGUAGAUAUUCGGAAGAACACCAGUGGCGAAGGCGGCUCACUGGACGACUGUUGACGCUGAGGUGCGAAAGCGUGGGGAGCAAACAGGAUUAGAGACCCCAGUAGUCCCUGUCUCUUAUAC
rnacentral:rRNA from 1 species